UACGAAGGGGGCUAGCGUUGCUCGGAAUUACUGGGCGUAAAGCGCACGUAGGCGGCUUCUUAAGUCGGUGGUGAAAUCCUGGAGCUCAACUCCAGAACUGCCUUCGAUACUGGGAAGCUCGAGUCCGGGAGAGGUGAGUGGAACUGCGAGUGUAGAGGUGAAAUUCGUAGAUAUCAGGAGGAAUACCGAUGGCGAAGGCAGGUCUCUGGGCUAUAACUGACGCUCAUGCACGAAAGCGUGGGGAGCAAACAGG
rnacentral:rRNA from 1 species